CCGGUGAGGAAGCAUGUGUCCACUUCCCUUUCUACCAUGAUUGUAGAUUUCCUGAGGCCUUCCCAGUCAUGCUGAAUUGAGGCUGAAAUGAUCAUUUCGUAGGAGUGAAGGUUACAUAAGAGUAACUAGACUAGGAGAGAGAUGGUCUUCUUACUUGCUAGGGAAGAGUUGACUUGCCACGUGAAAAAUGCAACUACAGAACCAUAGAUGGCUUGAGCUAGAAUGGACCAGAAGGAUGAGGGCAGAUCUCAGCUCCCCUAUUUGUCAAGGGGCAAAAUCAUUGUCAGAAAAGAGGAUUCCUACAGUUCUGGUUUGCUCUCACCUAUUCUCUAGUGUUAUUUUAAACCACAUUUUACUCUACUUAAAAUUCUCUAGCCUAAAAAGCAUCAGGACAAUGAGUAAUUUCCAAAUGAGAUGAAAUGAUGUCAAGUGUCCUUGAAACUGGUCAUUGGGCCUCAGAGGAACAUAUCUACCUGUUUGAGUAGCUAACAUUUGUUUAUGUGUGCAUGUUGAGGUUGUGUGUAUG